GCCGAUCAGGCUGUUGGUGAGGUAAUGGCCCACCAAACCUGUAACCGGUACGGGCUCUGAGAGGAGGAGCCCGGAGAUGGGCACUGAGACAAGGGCCCAGGCCCUAUGGGGCGCAGCAGGCGCGAAACCUCUGCAAUAGGCGAAAGCUUGACAGGGUUACUUUGAGUGAUUUCCGUUAAGGAGAUCUUUUGGCACCUCUAAAAAUGGUGCAGAACAAGGGGUGGGCAAGUCUGGUGUCAGCCGCCGCGGUAAUACCAGCACCCCGAGUGGUCGGGACGUUUAUUGGGCCUAAAGCAUCCGUAGCCGGUUCUACAAGUCUUCCGUUAAAUCCACCUGCUCAACAGAUGGGCUGCGGAAGAUACUAUGGAGCUAGGAGGCGGGAGAGGCAAGCGGUACUCGAUGGGUAGGGGUAAAAUCCGUUGAUCCAUUGAAGACCACCAGUGGCGAAGGCGGCUUGCCAGAACGCGCUCGACGGUGAGGGAUGAAAGCUGGGGGAGCAAACCGGAUUAGAUACCCGGGUAGUCCCAGCUGUAAACGAUGCAGACUCGGUGAUGAGUUGGCUUUAUGCCAACUCAGUGCCGCAGGGAAGCCGUUAAGUUUGCCGCCUGGGGAGUACGGUCGCAAGACUGAAACUUAA
rnacentral:rRNA from 1 species